rnacentral:sRNA from 1 species
GCCUUGAGCCAGACAGUAUGGCUUCAGCUGCCUCGGCACUGCACCUGCUGUCCCCACGGCCCCGGCCAGGGCCUGAGCUCGGCCCCCAGCUUGGCCUUGAUGGAGGUCCUGGGGAUGGAGAUCGGCAUAGUACCCCCUCCCUCCUGGAGGCAGCCUUGACCCAGGAGGCCUCAACUCCUGAUAGUCAGGUUUGGCCCACAGCACCUGACAUUACUCGUGAGACCUGCAGCACCCUGGCAGAAAGCCCCAGGAAUGGCCUUCAGGAAAAGCACAAGAGCCUAGCCUUCCACCGACCACCAUAUCACCUGCUGCAGCAACGUGACAGCCAGGAUGCCAGUGCUGAGCAAAGUGACCAUGAUGAUGAGGUGGCCAGCCUUGCCUCUGCUUCAGGAGGCUUUGGCACCAAAGUUCCUGCUCCACGGCUGCCUGCCAAGGACUGGAAGACCAAGGGAUCCCCUCGAACCUCACCCAAGCUCAGGAGGAAAAGCAAGAAGGAUGAUGGGUAGGGAGGAAUCCUAGGGAGGGAGAGGGUGGUCUCCAGGCUGCCUGACGUAGCCUGAGGUGCUUCUCGCCUAUGGCAGGGAUGCAGCCAUGGGAUCCCGGCUCACAGAGCACCAGGUGGCAGAGCCCCCUGAGGACUGGCCAGCACUAAUUUGGCAACAGCAGAGAGAGCUGGCAGAGCUGCGGCACAGCCAAGAAGAGCUGCUGCAGCGUCUGUGUACCCAACUCGAAGGCCUGCAGAGCACA